rnacentral:lncRNA from 1 species
AAACCUGUCCGUGGCUGGCAGCCCUGUGAUACCUCGCCACAUUCUGCAACAGAAUCCGAGAUAGAGGUAGAAGUGGGGGAGUACGUCGUGGCUGUCAGGGCAGCUUUCUGUAAAAUGCUGCCUGGAGGAGCAUGUGAUUCCAGACCCUCCUCUCUGCAACGAAAGUGAGGUUGACACCUGCAGGUAUGAUUGUAACACGACUUUUAGUUCAGGCCUGGGGCCUCCUGGCCCACUGAGCAGAACACACAGAAGCUGGGCCCACCCCUGCCCUCCCCACAAAGGGUCACGGGAGCCACCGCCUGACUUUGAAGCCCACUGACUUGCGGCUGACAAGAGAAAAGAAUGUGCCCCUGUGAUCAUGUGAAAGCAUCAGCCAGGGGUCCAAGAACUUCCCUCUGGAGCCUCACACUCCCAGCGUGGCACCCAGCAGGGAACAGAUUCUCUCCAAACCUUUGUGAAUGAAUGAAGGAUGACGUCACUAGAAUCCAUCCCUGUUUUAUUUUUUAUUUUUAUUUUUUGAGACAGAGUCUCGCUCUGUUGUUGCCCAGGCUGGAGUGCGGUGGCACAAUCUCAGCUCACUACAACCUCCGCCUCCCCGGUUCAAGUGAUUCUCCUGCCUCAACCUCCUGAGUAGCUGGGAUUACAGGCACCCAUCACCACGCCUGGCUAAUUUUUGUGUGUGUUUAGUACAGACGGGGUUUCACCACGUUGGCCAGACUGGUCUUGAACUCCUGACCUCAGGUGAUCCGCCUGCCUCGGCCUCCCAAAGUGUUGGGAUUACAGGCGUGAGCCACCACGCCCAUGCCCAUCCCCAUUUUAUAGACAAGGAUACCAAGGCUCAGAGAGGGGAAGCCACUUGCCAAGGACGCACAGGAGGACACCAGUGAGCAGGACCUCUGGUCUGUCUGGGAGGCCACUGGGCCUCUUCCCAGAGUCUCUGCUUGGUGAGCCAGGAUUUUACACCCGCCUUGGGCCCAGUGGGCUGAGAGGACAUGGGCUGGGGUGUCGGAAGCUGCAGAGCUGAUCCCUCCUGCUUGGCUGGAGGCUUGCAGACCCGGCAGGCAGGCUCGGGAGGCAGCGGGCGACUUGAAAAUGCACUCCCUACCACAGGCUCAAGAGUGACGGCGCCUGUCAGGGACCGGGAGGCAGGGCCUGUCUUUUCCUGCUGUUUUAUUGCCUUCAAAGUCUGGACCAAGUGGUUUCUGGAUGGAGUCACGGUAACCUCACGUCUAUUCAAGCAAUUCGUUCAUUGUUUCAUUUAGUAAAAUACCCACAAAACAAGGAAGAACACCUUGGCGGUGCCUCUGAUCCCCCCAUUUGUCUGCAAAUCGGAAAAGCAUGAUUCCAUCGAUCUCCUGUUUAUUGAGCGCCUACUACAUGCUAGGUCGGAUGGUCUAGUUCAACCCCUCGCAACGCCACAGCUGCUGUCUGUUUCGUAUCUUGUAUUUUUCGCUUGACAGUUUAUCAUGUGCAUUUUCUCGGGUACCAAAGGCCCUUGUAAGAGAUGGUGUCUGGAGAAUGGGUAUCUCAGGGGCCUACCACCUGGCUUACCUCCUCCCAAAUCAGGGUUCCUCUGCACCACCUCCUCUCUGUCCAGCUCCUCCUUCAGGGCCUGGCUCAAUUCUACCUCCUCCACAAAGCCCUCCAUUCCCUCCCCUCCUGGUCAGUGUUGUCUCUUUUGCAGCCACUAGCUCUCUGCCUUGCCUCACCCGGGUCUCCUAUCCCUCUCCUUCUCUCUCAUGGAGUGAUGCCUUUUUUCUUCCUCUACACACAUCAGGUCUGAGCUCAAAGUCACCUUGUCAAAGGCCCUCCCAGGACCACCCUGUGUGAUUAUCCUGUGGGCUUGUUCCUGUGUUUGUCCCUGAGCCCACAGGGUCUGGUGGUUCAGUAGAAGGACUCCUGCAGAAGGUGCUGGAUAAACACUGGAAGAUCUAGAAAUAAAAAUAAAAGAAAGACUGGGCGCGGUGGCUCAGGCCUGUAAUCCCAACACUUUGGGAGGCCGAGGUGGGCGGAUCCCCUGAGGUCAGGAGUUCGAGACUAACCUGGCCAACAUGGCGAAACCCCAUCUCUACUAAAAAUACAAAAAUUAGCCAGGCAUGGUGGCAUGUGCCUGUAAUCCCAGCUACUCAGGAGGCUGAGGCAGGAGAAUCGCUUGAACCCGGGAGGCAGAGGUUGUAGUGAGCUGAGAUCGCGCCACCGCACUCUAGCCUGGGCGAAAGAGUGAGACUGUAUCCCAAAAAUAAUAAAAUAAAAUAAAAUAA